CGCCCGCCCCGCUCCGCAGGGGCAGAGGGGGAGGGGACGAAGCUGUCCGCCGCCAUUUUGCUUGUGGGCUGCCGCCCGCCGUUACCUCUCCACCGCGGCUAGAAGACAGCCAACUGGAGGCAGAGCGGUGGACAGAAUCUCCGUCUAUUUCACAACAGAUGCAUUCAACAAUUCACCGAAGUCUGGCCUCUAGCGCGGGAUGAACUCGGUUGGGGUGUCACUCGACGCCCACUAGGGGCUGAGGCGGUUCCAGUGCGCAGGCUCCGAGCACCGGAUAAAAGCGGAGCUGGCGAGUCCAGCGCCGUCUCGAUGGAGGAGCGAGAAACGGAAGAGGUCGGGGGGAGAAGCAGCAGGAAAAAUACAGCCACCGUCAGCGCCGCCUCCCUGCCACCGUGUAUCGGGGAGACCUUCUCUAGUUUUCCUGCAUUGACAGACUUGGACUUUGGUGCUUAACAUCACUACCUCCUAGAUUCCCCAAGAGCCCAGUUACCUGAAGAAAGCACUGGGUGCUUCUGACUCCGUGAAUGCCUCUGGAGUCUUUGGUCUUGUAUGUAAU
rnacentral:lncRNA from 1 species